UGAUUCAAGACACUUGGAGGUGCAGU
rnacentral:piRNA from 1 species